CAAAUACAUAAACUAAAACAACAAGUUAAAUUUUAACCCAGGGUUAGCGCAAACCCACCUUUGAACAACCGGCGAAAAAGCUGUUCGUUGAUUGAUAUAACCCACAUUAAAUUUCAGUAUAACUUAUAAUUGUGCUUGACGUCUUUUUUAUCUCUUUAUAUCAAGCAUUUUUUACAACGGUUAAAAAAUCACUACCGGUUGAUAGCGCUAUCUGGCUUUCUUACAACCGACCACCGAUGGAUAAUCCACAUGAAGACGCAGUAUUAGAUGGCAACAAAAAGAAGACGUCACCCAAGAGAACUCAGAAACAGUGCAAGUACUUAAAUGAAUACUCUUAAUUGAGCCUGUUCAAAGAGAGCCUGUUCGCAGGCUAUACUCUUAAUUAAAUAAACAAUUUGUAGGUUUUCUUAUCUUAAACCAUAGUCUGUCAAGAUAUGAUGGUCUGGAAGCCUGGCAAACUUCAAAGCCACAAAAUAGAAGACCUUUGUUUGAUGUUGAACUGUACCUCACCUUGCACAAAUCCUGUCUCAACUUCAUUAAAUAUUAUUUAUCGUGGUUGCACGUUUCAUCUCGGCUAUCCCAAUUGGACGGCUACUUCAUUAUACGGAAAUUUAGUUUCCAGACAAUCAUAUCUUGAUAGACUAUGCUUAAACUUUACCAGCUGGACGACUAUGCACACUGAACUCUAGCCUUAUGUACAGUAGCGAAUUUGAACGAACCUAAGAACGCUUGAAAAAUUGUGUAUUUUCCCCUUGUAAUUAGUCCUCGCCUGAGCUUCGAGGGUUUUUGUCCGGCUGCUUGUAGCCCGCAUGCAGGGUUAGGCCUGACGCGGGUAAAGGCUGGACGCGGGCUACAAGUAGAGCCUGGGCUUCCCGUGCAAAAACUAAUAUUUAUGUAAAAUACAAUCAAUGUAAAAUAGUCAAUCAUGGUAGGUCCACCUAUGGAUAGGUGGUGUGUAAAAGUAGGCUGUACUACUAGUGCGUACAAAUUUGUAUAUUUCUCUUUUGUUAUAUAUAUAAUCAUAAAAAGAUACCACAAAGCCUUCCUGUGUUCCAUGAUCAGACAUAGAUCUUAUGGUAGCAGCCAUACGAGGCGACCUACUCAGC
rnacentral:lncRNA from 1 species